UAGCUUAGUGGUCAAAGCAUUGGCGCGUAAAGCCAAAGAGCCUGGGUUCGAUUCCCGG
rnacentral:tRNA from 1 species